rnacentral:rRNA from 1 species
AUGGAGAGCACCUUGCUGAGGCCACCCGCUCUGGGACUGGGAUCGCCCGCCGGGCUUGGAGGCGGCACGGCCGGCUGGAGGUCUCGGAGCGCCACGAGGCCUCCCUCCGUCGUCCCGGCGCUUCCCAGGCCGGCACGCUGGCGCCCCGUCAAGAUGUCAGCGCUCGCCGGCCACCGGCGAGAUUUUCACACCCCUCCGGUCACGCUCACGCCCGCGUCCGUGUUCUCCGUCGGCGGCGGAUUCGGGCCAUCGUCGUCGUCGUCCCGCGGGUCGUCGUCGAGGGGCCGACGUCGCCUCGUCGCCAGGGCCAUGUUCGAGAGCUUCACCGAGAAGGCCAUCAGGGUGAUCAUGCUGGCGCAGGAGGAGUCGCGGCGCCUCGGGCACCACACGGUCGGCAGCGAGCAGAUCCUCCUGGGCCUCGUCGGAGAGGGCACCGGCAUCGCCGCCAAGGUGCUCAGGUCCGCCGGGCUGAACCUCAAGGACGCCCGCGCCGAGGUGGAGAAGGUCCUCGGGAGGGGCCCUGGCCUCAUCCCCAUCGAGAUCCCCUUCACCGCGUCGGCCAAGAAGGUGAUCGAGUCCUCGACUGAAGAAUCGCGCCAGCUAGGGCAUAACUACAUUGGAACGGAGCACUUGCUUCUUGGGUUGAUCCGUGAGGAUGAUGGUGCGGCAGCCAUUGUACUCAAGAACUUUCAGGCUGAUCUCGGUGACAUACGCAACGAGGUUAUCAAAAUGAUUACCGACAUGUCUGAAGAUCAAACUGUCGGUGCCAGCGUUGGGGGCGGAAGCAGUGGAGCCAAGAUGCCAACACUGGAGGAGUAUGGGACUAAUCUGACAAAAUUAGCACAGGAGGGGAAGCUAGACCCCGUCGUCGGAAGGAACAAGCAGAUCGAGCGCGUGCUGCAGAUUUUGGGGAGACGAACAAAGAACAAUCCCUGCCUAAUUGGAGAACCCGGUGUUGGAAAGACGGCUAUCGCGGAAGGCCUUGCGCAGCGCAUUGCCACCGGGGAUGUGCCUGAAACAGUUGAAGGGAAAACGGUUAUCACCCUUGAUAUGGGACUUCUUGUUGCCGGGACCAAAUACCGUGGAGAGUUCGAAGAAAGGUUGAAGAAACUGAUGGAAGAGAUCAAGCAGAAUGGAGACAUAAUACUUUUCCUUGAUGAAGUCCACACUCUGGUGGGAGCAGGAGCAGCAGAAGGUGCUAUUGACGCUGCUAACAUUCUGAAGCCAGCGUUGGCGAGAGGCGAACUUCAGUGUCUUGGAGCCACUACAAUCGACGAAUACAGGAAGCACAUUGAGAAAGACCCUGCGCUGGAGAGGCGCUUCCAACCCGUGAAAGUUCCGGAGCCCACAGUUGAUGAAACCAUAGGAAUCCUCAAGGGGCUCCGGGAGCGAUACGAGAUCCACCACAAACUCCGAUAUAGCGACGAAGCGCUGAUUGCCGCUGCCCAGCUCUCAUACCAAUACAUCAGUGAUCGUUUCCUCCCAGACAAAGCAAUCGACCUGGUUGAUGAGGCAGGAUCUCUUGUCAGGCUACGCCAUGCCAAGCUACCUGACGAAGCUAAAGAUCUCGACAAGAAGCUCAAGGAAAUCACCAGACAGAAGAACGACGCCAUCCGCUCCCAGGAAUUCGAGACGGCCGGAGAGCUUCGCAGAGAAGAGCUGGAGCUCAAGACCCAGAUCAUGUCGCUGGUGGACAAGAGCAAGGAGGUGAGCAAGGCAGAGAUGGAGUCGGGAGCGUCGGCCGGCCCAAUGGUGACGGAGGCGGACAUCCAGCGCAUUGUUGCGUCAUGGACCAGCGUCCCCGUGGAGAAGGUCUCCGUUGACGAGUCCAGCCGGCUCCUCAAGAUGGAGGAGACCCUGCACGGGCGCGUCAUCGGCCAGGACGAGGCCGUGCGGGCCAUAGGCCGCGCCAUCCGCCGCGCGCGCGUCGGGCUCAGGAACCCCAACCGGCCGGUGGCCAGCUUCAUAUUCGCCGGCCCGACGGGCGUGGGCAAGUCGGAGCUGGCCAAGGCGCUGGCAACCAGCUACUACGGCUCGGAAGAGGCCAUGGUCCGGCUGGACAUGAGCGAGUUCAUGGAGCGGCACACGGUGGCCAAGCUCAUCGGCUCCCCUCCCGGCUAUGUCGGGUACACGGAGGGCGGGCAGCUGACGGAGGCCGUCCGGCGGCGGCCCUACACCGUGGUCCUCCUGGACGAGAUCGAGAAGGCGCACCCGGACGUGUUCAACCUGAUGCUGCAGAUCAUGGAGGACGGCCGGCUGACGGACAGCAGGGGGCGGACGGUGGACUUCAAGAACACGCUCAUCAUCAUGACCUCCAACGUCGGCAGCAGCGUGAUCGAGAAGGGCGGGAAGCAGCUGGGCUUCGACCACGACGACGGCGAGGCCCGCAGCAGCUACGGCAGGAUCAAGAGCCUGGUGGACGAGGAGAUGAAGCAGUACUUCCGGCCAGAGUUCCUGAACCGGCUCGACGAGAUGGUCGUGUUCCGGCAGCUCACCAAGAUGGAGGUCAAGGAGAUCGCCAUCAUCAUGCUGGCGGAGGUGACCGGCCGGAUGAAGGCCAAGGGGAUCGAGCUGAUGGUGACAGAGAACUUCAAGGAUCUGGUUGUGGAGGAAGGCUACGACCCCAGCUACGGCGCCCGGCCGCUGAGGAGGGCCAUCAUGAGGCUGCUCGAGGACAAGCUCGCGGACAAGAUGCUCGCCGAGGAUGUCAAGGAGGGAGACUAUGUGAUCAUCGACGCCGACCCGAUGGGUAACGUCGCCGUCCUCAGCCGGCACAGCGACUCGCCGGAGGACCAGCCGCUGGCGUUUCCUGCCUAG